rnacentral:rRNA from 1 species
AUUGAACGCUGGCGGCAUGCCUUACACAUGCAAGUCGAACGGUAACAGGUCUUCGGCCGCUGACGAGUGGCGAACGGGUGAGUAAUACAUCGGAACGUGCCCGAUCGUGGGGGAUAACGAGGCGAAAGCUUUGCUAAUACCGCAUACGAUCUACGGAUGAAAGCGGGGGAUCUUCGGACCUCGCGCGGACGGAGCGGCCGAUGGCAGAUUAGGUAGUUGGUGGGAUAAAAGCUUACCAAGCCGACGAUCUGUAGCUGGUCUGAGAGGAUGAUCAGCCACACUGGGACUGAGACACGGCCCAGACUCCUACGGGAGGCAGCAGUGGGGAAUUUUGGACAAUGGGCGAAAGCCUGAUCCAGCCAUGCCGCGUGCAGGAUGAAGGCCUUCGGGUUGUAAACUGCUUUUGUACGGAACGAAAAGCCUCUUUCUAAUAAAGAGGGGUCAUGACGGUACCGUAAGAAUAAGCACCGGCUAACUACGUG